CCCUUAGAUGUUCUGGGCCGCACGCGCGCUACGCUGAUGCAUUCAACGAGUCUAAAACCUGGUCUGAUAGGGCUGGGUAAUCUUUUGAAUGUGCAUCGUGAUUGGGAUAGAUGAUUGCAAUUCUUCAUCUUCAACGAGGAAUGCCUAGUAAACGCAAGUCAUCAGCUUGCAUUGAUUACGUCCCUGCCCUUUGUACACACCGCCCGUCGCUCCUACCGAUUGAAUGUUCCGAUGAAUACCAUGGACUGAGAGUAUGAAUGGGUUCGCCUAUUUCUGCUUCUCGGGAAGUGGAGUAAAUCUUAACAUUUAGAGGAAGGAGAAGUCGUAACA
rnacentral:rRNA from 1 species